rnacentral:rRNA from 1 species
CAAUAGCGUAUAUUAAAGUUGUUGCGGUUAAAAAGCUCGUAGUUGGAUUUCUGCUGAGAACGACCGGUCCGCCCUUUGGGUGUGUAUCUGGCUCUUUCUUGGCAUCUUCUUGGUGAACGUUGCUGCACUUGACUGUGUGGAGCGCUACCCAGGACUUUUACUUUGAGGAAAUUAGAGUGUUUCAAGCAGGCAUACGCCUUGAAUACAUUAGCAUGGAAUAAUAAGAUAGGACCUCGGUUCUAUUUUGUUGGUUUCUAGAGCUGAGGUAAUGAUUAAUAGGGAUAGUUGGGGGCAUUCGUAUUUAACUGUCAGAAGUGAAAUUCUUGGAUUUGUUAAAGACGGACUACUGCGAAAGCAUUUGCCAAGAAUGUUUUCAUUGA